UGGGGAAUAUUGGACAAUGGGGGCAACCCUGAUCCAGCGAUGCCGCGUGUGUGAAGAAGGCCUGCGGGUUGUAAAGCACUUUUGUUGGGGAGGAAAGUAGUUGGGUUAAUACCCUGACUGCAUGACGUUACCCAAAGAAUAAGCACCGGCUAACUCUGUGCCAGCAGCCGCGGUAAUACAGAGGGUGCGAGCGUUAAUCGGAAUGACUGGGCGUAAAGGGCGCGUAGGUGGCUAGUUAAGUGAGAUGUGAAAUCCCUGGGCUUAACCUAGGAACUGCAUUUCAUACUGAUUAGCUGGAGUAGAGGAGAGGGUAGUGGAAUUUCAGGUGUAGCGGUGAAAUGCGUAGAUAUCUGAAGGAACACCAGUGGCGAAGGCGACUGCCUGGCCUCAUACUGACACU
rnacentral:rRNA from 1 species